rnacentral:rRNA from 1 species
CACCCCGUAAACGUUGGGGAACUAGCUGUGGGGUCCAUUCCACGGAUUCCGUGACGCAGCUAACGCAUUAAGUUCCCCGCCUGGGGAGUACGGCCGCAAGGCUAAAACUCAAAGGAAUUGACGGGGACCCGCACAAGCGGCGGAGCAUGCGGAUUAAUUUGAUGCAACGCGAAGAACCUUACCAAGGCUUGACAUAUACGAGAACGGGCCAGAAAUGGUCAACUCUUUGGACACUUGUAAACAGGUGGUGCAUGGUUGUCGUCAGCUCGUGUCGUGAGAUGUUGGGUUAAGUCCCGCAACGAGCGCAACCCUCGUUCUAUGUUGCCAGCACGUAAUGGUGGGAACUCAUGGGAUACUGCCGGGGUCAACUCGGAGGAAGGUGGGGAUGACGUCAAAUCAUCAUGCCCCUUAUGUCUUGGGCUUCACGCAUGCUACAAUGGCCGGUACAAAGGGCUGCAAUACCGUGAGGUGGAGCGAAUCCCAAAAAGCCGGUCCCAGUUCGGAUUGAGGUCUGCAACUCGACCUCAUGAAGUCGGAGUCGCUAGUAAUCGCAGAUCAGCAACGCUGCGGUGAAUACGUUCCCGGGUCUUGUACACACCGCCCGUCAAGUCAUGAAAGUCGGUAACACCUGAAGCCGGUGGCCUAACCCUUGUGGAGGGAG